AUUGAACGCUGGCGGCAGGCCUAACACAUGCAAGUCGAGCGAGCGGCGGACGGGUGAGUAAUGUAUGGGGACUGCCCGAUAGAGGGGGAUAACUACUGGAAACGGUGGCUAAUACCGCAUACUAUCGGAUAACCCAGAUGGGAUUAGCUAGUAGGUGGGGUAACGGCUCACCUAGGCGACGAUCCCUAGCUGGUCUGAGAGGAUGAUCAGCCACAAUGGGACGGAGACGCGGUCCAGACUCCUACGGAGGCAGCAGUGGGGAAUAUUUCACAAUGGGCGCAGGCCUGAUGCAGCCAUACCGCGUGUAUGAAGAAGGCCUUAGGGUUGUAAAGUACUUUCAGCGAGGAGGCGUUACCCGCAGAAGAAGCACCGGCUAACUCCGUGCCAGCAGCCGCGGUAAUAC
rnacentral:rRNA from 1 species